rnacentral:rRNA from 1 species
CGUGCAAAGGUAGCGCAAUCACUUGUCUUUUAAAUGAAGACCUGUAUGAAUGGCACGACGAGGGCUUAACUGUCUCCUUUUUCUAGUCAAUGAAAUUGAUCUUCCCGUGCAGAAGCGGGAAUGCUAACAUAAGACGAGAAGACCCUAUGGAGCUUUAGACACAAGACAGCCCAUGUUAAACACCCUCCCACUAAGAGACUAAACUAAUUGGAAUCUACCUUAAUGUCUUUGGUUGGGGCGACCACGGGGAAACACAAAACCCCCAUGUGGACCAGAAACACUUUUUUCUACAACUAAGAGCUACAACUCUAACUAACAGAACUUCUGACCAGUUUUGAUCCGGCAAUGCCGAUCAACGGACCGAGUUACCCUAGGGAUAACAGCGCAAUCCCUUCUUAGAGCCCAUAUCGACGAAGGGGUUUACGACCUCGAUGUUGGAUCAGGACAUCCUAAUGGUGCAGCCGCUAUUAAGGGUUCGUUUGUUCAACGAUUAAUAGUCCUACGUGAUCUGAGU